GAUGAACGCUGGCGGCGUGCCUAAUACAUGCAAGUCGAGCGAACAGAUGAGGAGCUUGCUCCUCUGACGUUAGCGGCGGACGGGUGAGUAACACGUGGAUAACCUACCUAUAAGACUGGGAUAACUUCGGGAAACCGGAGCUAAUACCGGAUAAUAUAUUGAACCGCAUGGUUCAAUAGUGAAAGACGGUUUUGCUGUCACUUAUAGAUGGAUCCGCGCCGCAUUAGCUAGUUGGUAAGGUAACGGCUUACCAAGGCGACGAUGCGUAGCCGACCUGAGAGGGUGAUCGGCCACACUGGAACUGAGACACGGUCCAGACUCCUACGGGAGGCAGCAGUAGGGAAUCUUCCGCAAUGGGCGAAAGCCUGACGGAGCAACGCCGCGUGAGUGAUGAAGGUCUUCGGAUCGUAAAACUCUGUUAUUAGGGAAGAACAAAUGUGUAAGUAACUAUGCACGUCUUGACGGUACCUAAUCAGAAAGCCACGGCUAACUACGUU
rnacentral:rRNA from 1 species